AACGCAUCUUGCGCUCCUUGGUAUUCCAAGGAGCAUGCCUGUUUGAGUAUCAUUAAAUUAUCAACUGUGCCACUUUGGUUACAGAUUGGAUGUGGGAGAUUUCUUGCAGGCUUUCGACUUCUCUUUGAAUGCCAGCUCUCCUGAAAUGUAUUAGCAGUGCCUUUGUUGGUUCAUUAGGUGUGAUAAUUUAUCUACAUCUUCACAUGGUGCCUUCAUUUGUAAAAGGUCAUAUUGCUUCUAAUUGUCUUUGGACAAAAAACACGUUAAUGUGUGACAAACUUGAUCUCAAAUCAGGCAGGACUACCCGCUGAACUUAA
rnacentral:misc_RNA from 1 species